GACGAACGCUGGCGGCGUGCUUAACACAUGCCAGUCGAACGAUGAAGCGGGUGCUUGCCCUCGUGGAUUAGUGGCGAACGGGCGAGUAACACGUGAGUAACCUGUCCUUUUCUUUGGGAUAACGGCUGGAAACGGCUGCUAAUACUGGAUAUUCAGGCUGCAUCGCAUGGUGUGGUUUGGAAAGGUUUUUUCUGGGAUUGGGUGGGCUCGCGGCCUAUCAGCUUGUUGGUGGGGUGAUGGCUUACCAAGGCUUUGACGGGUAGCCGGCCUGAGAGGGUGGUCGGUCGCACUGGGACUGAGAUACGGCCCAGACUCCUACGGGAGGCAGCAGUGGGGAAUAUUGCACAAUGGACGAAAGUUUGAUGCAGCGACGCCGCGUGGAGGGUGUAGGCCUUCGGGUUGUGAACUCCUUUGUCUCGCGAAAAAGGCACAGUUUUGGCUGUGUUGAUGGUAGUGGGGGAAGAAGCGCCGGCUAACUACGUG
rnacentral:rRNA from 1 species